CAACUACUCCCUCUGUCCCAAAUUUCUUGUCUUAGAUUUGUCUAGAUACAGAUGUAUCUGAUACUAAAAUGUGACUUGAUACAUCCGUAUCUAGACAAAUCUAAGACAAGAAUUUUGGGACGGAGGGGGUACUUU
rnacentral:pre_miRNA from 1 species